UAGGGAAUCUUGCGCAAUGGGCGAAAGCCUGACGCAGCGACGCCGCGUGCGGGAUGAAGGCCUUCGGGUCGUAAACCGCUUUCAGCAGGGACGCGUGGUUGGCUAAUAUCCAACUACCUGACGGUACCGGCAUAAGAAGCACCGGCUAACUCU
rnacentral:rRNA from 1 species